GAAAGGGUGCGUAACACGUGGGCAAAUUACCAAGAAGUGGGGAAUAGCUCGACGAAGAGUCGAAUUAUACCGCAUAUGAUCGCAAGAUCAAAUGUCGGGGACCGCAAGGCCUGACGCUUUUUGAGGAUGCCCGCGGCCCAUCAGCUAGUUGGCGGGGUAUCGGCCACCAAGGCUAUGACAGGGUAGCUGGUCUGAGGAGGACGACCAGCCACACUGGAACUGAGACACGGUCCAGACACCUACGGGGUGGCAGCAGUCGAGAAUUUUUCACAAUGGACGAAAGUCUGAUGGAGCGACGCCGCGGGUGGAGUGAUGAACGGUUUCCAGGAUUGUAAACUCCUGUCACUGCAAACAAGGCUACCUUUAUGAAUAGUACGUGUAGUUCGAAUGGUAUGCGGAGAGGAAGGGACGGCUAACUCUGUGCCAGCAGCCGCGGUAGGACAAGAAGGGUCCCGAGCGUUGUUCCGGAUUCAUCGGGCGUAAACGGGUGUGUAGGA
rnacentral:rRNA from 1 species